rnacentral:SRP_RNA from 2 species
GAUUCGGAUCCAUGCGGUCCAGACGCCUAAACCUGGUCAGAACCGGAAGGGAGCAGCCACAUUGGAUGCUCUGGGCAGGCGUGGACUCCGGGUCACC